AGCUUUGCACAGUGGCAGUAUCAGAACCAAUUAGGUUUAUCUGAGGCAUAAUUAUUGCUAAUUGAAAACUUUUCCCUAUAAUAGGC
rnacentral:snRNA from 1 species